CACAUUCUUUUUCAAAAGCAUAUUUAAUUUGUUUAUCCUACAUUAUCCAUGGCAGUUCGAUAAAAGAUGUAUAUGUUAUUGGUUCUUGCUCAUGCUCUUUUCUUAUGUCUGUGUUCAGGCCUAACCUCACCAAACUUUGCUACACUUCACAUCAUGAGGGAACGAAGCAGAUGCGUCCAUCGCAACCUCAAGCAAAUCAGAUGACAAGGUGUUUGGAGCAAGCUAAUCAUAGCCAACUACAUAGUUUUGUACUAUGUUGUAUUAAAGCAGUGUAAACAACUUAUAUGGCCUGCUUUUGGUAUAUCAUACCGAACCUUGAUCUUUAGGUAUUUCAUGCUACAUUUUUUAACAAAUGCACCAAUGGUUUGUAACGAGAUUUGAUGUUUUGCAUUGUACCAUUACUGCUGUAAGUAAAUAU